rnacentral:ncRNA from 1 species
CCUUAUCACGAGCGGCGGAGGGAACAGGCCCGAUGAUGCCCGGCAACCUGCAUUGCGCAAGGUGCCAAUUCCUGCGGUGAAAACCGACAGAUGAGG